ACGGGUGAGUAACGCGUGGAUAUCUGCCUUUUGGUUCGGAAUAACCCCGGGAAACUGGGGCUAAUACCGGAUGGUUCCUUCGGGAUAAAGAUUUAUCGCCAAAAGAUGAGUCCGCGUACGAUUAGCUAGUUGGUGAGGUAAUGGCUCACCAAGGCGACGAUCGUUAGCUGGUCUGAGAGGACGAUCAGCCACACUGGGACUGAGACACGGCCCAGACUCCUACGGGAGGCAGCAGUGGGGAAUAUUGGACAAUGGGGGCAACCCUGAUCCAGCCAUGCCGCGUGAGUGAUGAAGGCCUUCGGGUUGUAAAGCUCUUUUGGCGGGGACGAUGAUGACGGUACCCGCAGAAUAAGCCCCGGCUAACUUCGUGCCAGCAGCCGCGGUAAGACGAAGGGGGCUAGCGUUGUUCGGAAUUACUGGGCGUAAAGCGAGUGUAGGUGGUUGCCGUAGUCAGGUGUGAAAGCCUUGAGCUCAACUCAAGAAAUGCACUUGAUACUGGGCGACUAGAGGACCGGAGAGGAUAGUGGAAUUCCCAGUGUAGUGGUGAAAUACGUAGA
rnacentral:rRNA from 1 species